AGGCAAGGGUGUCUAUAAUAAAAGUGACGCAAAUUGCAUUGAAAGUUGGCAAUAUAAAUUUUCUUCGCGACUCUGCCUGCCUAUCAAAUUCCUCCUUGUUUUGAUUAUGGCUUCGAACAAAAAAUCGCGACAAU